GAUGAACGCUAGCUACAGGCUUAACACAUGCAAGUCGAGGGGAAACGGCAUUGAGUGCUUGCACUCUUUGGACGUCGACCGGCGCACGGGUGAGUAACGCGUAUCCAACCUUCCCAUUACUGUGGGAUAACCUGCCGAAAGGCAGACUAAUACCGCAUAGUCUUCGAUGACGGCAUCAGAUUUGAAGUAAAGAUUUAUCGGUAAUGGAUGGGGAUGCGUCUGAUUAGCUUGUUGGCGGGGUAACGGCCCACCAAGGCGACGAUCAGUAGGGGUUCUGAGAGGAAGGUCCCCCACAUUGGAACUGAGACACGGUCCAAACUCCUACGGGAGGCAGCAGUGAGGAAUAUUGGUCAAUGGACGGAAGUCUGAACCAGCCAAGUAGCGUGCAGGAUGACGGCCCUAUGGGUUGUAAACUGCUUUUGUAUGGGGAUAAAGUUAGGGACGUGUCCCUAUUUGCAGGUACCAUACGAAUAAGGACCGGCUAAUUCCGUGCCAGCAGCCGCGGUAAUACGGAAGGUCCAGGCGUUAUCCGGAUUUAUUGGGUUUAAAGGGAGCGUAGGCUGGAGAUUAAGUGUGUUGNGAAAUGUAGACGCUCAACGUCNGAAUUGCAGCGCAUACUGGUUUCCUUGAGUACGCACAACGUNGGCGGAAUUCGUCGUGUAGCGGNGAAAUGCUUAGAUAUGNNNAAGAACUCCGAUUGNGAAGGCAGCUGACGGGAGCGCAACUGACGCUUAAGCUCGAAGGUGCGGGUAUCAAACAGG
rnacentral:rRNA from 1 species